CACGUAGGGGGCAAGCGUUGUCCGGAUUUAUUGGGCGUAAAGAGCUCGUAGGCUGUUCGAUAAGUCGGGUGUGAAACCUCCAGGCUCAACCUGGAGACGCCACCCGAUACUGUCAUGACUAGAGUCCGGUAGGGGAGCGUGGAAUUCCGGGUGUAGUGGUGAAAUGCGUAGAGAUCCGGAGGAACACCAGUGGCGAAGGCGGCCCCCUGGGCCGCGCCUGACGCUGAGACGCGAAAGCGCGGGGAGCGAACGGG
rnacentral:rRNA from 1 species